ensembl:snRNA U6 U6 spliceosomal RNA
GUGCUCGCUUUGGCAGCACAUAUACUAAAAUUGGAAUGAUACAGAGAAGGUUAUCAUGGCCCCCCUGCACAAGGAUGACACGCAAAUUCGUGAAGCGUUCCCUAUUUUU